UACGUAGGGACCAAGCGUUGUUCGGAUUUACUGGGCGUAAAGGGCGCGUAGGCGGCGCGGUAAGUCACUUGUGAAAUCUCUGAGCUUAACUCAGAACGGCCAAGUGAUACUGCAGUGCCAGAGUGUGGAAGGGGCAAUCGGAAUUCUUGGUGUAGCGGUGAAAUGCGUAGAUAUCAAGAGGAACACCUGAGGUGAAGACGGGUUGCUGGGCCAACACUGACGCUGAGGCGCGAAAGCCAGGGGGGCAAACGGG
rnacentral:rRNA from 1 species